rnacentral:rRNA from 1 species
AUUGAACGCUGGCGGCAUGCCUAACACAUGCAAGUCGAACGGCAGCACGGCAGUAGCAAUACUGUGGGUGGCGAGUGGCGGACGGGUGAGGAAUACGUCGGAAUCUGCCCAGUCGUGGGGAGUAACUAGCCGAAGGUUAGCUAAUACCGCAUACGACCGAGAGGUGAAAGACGGGGACCGGCAAGGCCUCGCGCGAUUGGAUGAGCCGACGUCGGAUUAGCUAGUUGGUGGGGUAAAGGACCCGACCAAGGCGACGAUCCGUAGCUGGUCUGAGAGGAUGAUCAGCCACACUGGAACUGAGACACGGUCCAGACUCCUACGGGAGGCAGCAGUGGGGAAUAUUGGACAAUGGGCGAAAGUCUGAUCCAGCCAUGCCGCGUGAGUGAAGAAGGCCUU